GAAGCAAGAGCAAGGAAGAUGAUGAUAGUGAGCUUGUGGUGCAUACAAACUGAUCCUUCAAACCGGCCAGCGAUGAAGGAAGUGAUAGAUAUGUUGGAAGGGAGUGUUGAUUCGUUGCAGAUACCUCCCAAACCUUACUUGUCUUCUCCUCCAAAAUCCCCAGCAGAUUCUUCUACAGCAUUGGUAUCAAUGAAGUAGAAACCUUGUAUUUUACUUGAACAAAUCUAUGUUUUUCUGAGGCAAUCUAAAUAAUGAAGCAUGCGUUUCAUGUUUGUUUUGUUUUUGUUUUUAUUUUUUACUCUAUAUAUGAAUCAACACAGUAGGAGUGACCCUAUUACUACCCCUCCUGCAAUCAUCUAUAAAUAAAUAUUAGUAAUGUGAAACAUUUGCAUUUGUGGGUCAGACCAGUUGACCAAGGCAGCGUGCCCGUUUCAUCUCCCUGGUUUAAUCAUAGGCCCAAAAAUUUGAAGCUGGGACGGUUGAACUAAUCUUGGACCGAUUUUGGUUGCUUGGAAGGCCACGAGAGCAAGUUGGGCCACGGGAGUGGGCUGCUCAGCAAGUGGCGCACAUGGGUGCGAGGCUAGGGCUCGACUUGGCAACGUGUUGGGCUCGCGUUGGGUUUGGGCGACUCGGGCCGGUUAGGCUUGGGCCCUUGAAGGUUUAAGUGGCACAACUUGGGCUUGGGCUUGGCCUUGGUGACGUGGGUUUUGCCGAGGGUGGCCACCGUGGUGGUUGCCACACCGGUGCCUCGUAGGGGUGGUGCCACUCCACUCAUCAUUGUGUUGAGCCUUGUAGAUCGACGUGGUCCUAAUUCUUGAACGUUGGAAUUUCCAUUCAUCGAGGUUUCCAAAUCCCUUGCCAUUGUACUUUUCUUCGAAUAAUUUUUAGAAAUAAAAAUUCUAAGAAUAAGAGCAUACAAAAAAUCUACAAAUGAACAAGAAAACAAAAAACCUUGGAUGCGAAAGUCUUCUACUAGUGUGUGACUCAACUCUCAAUGAAAACACCAAUUUGUGGAUGCAAAUUUCUUCAUUCUUGUUCUUAGACGAAAAUGCCCCAGCAAAAACAUUUAACACUUUAGGUUAAGGUCAAAAGCCUCAUGUGCCCACAAUGAAUGGGGGGAGCUUUGGCCAAAGAACAUCCGAUGCCAAAUUUAAAAUUUUGGGGGAAAAGUGUUUAGAGAAUUUGGAGAAUUUUGUAAGGGGAUUCAACUUAGGUUUUUUGAAGAAAUAAGGUGGUAUUUAUAGGGUUGUGGCCGGCCCCUUUUGGAGAGGUGGGAACCGGCCACCUUUGGUGGUUUUUGGGUGUAAUUGAUUAGGAAAUUAAUAUCUUGCAAUCAAUUAGGAAAUUAAUUAGAAAAUUAAUUAAUUAAUUUAGGUAAUUAAUCCUAUUUUGAAUGAAUAUUUGGAGGUUACCUUGUAGGGAGGAUUUGAUGAGGAUGAAUGAAAUAAGUUUUGAAUAAAUACCUAUUUGGAUCACUUUUGACCUUGAUUGAGUGGUAAUUGUCCGUUGCUCACGCAUAUGAGUUCUGAUGUGCCACGAGGGUAAUCUUGUAUUUUUACCAAAAAAUCCACGUGUCGCCUCCAUAUUUUUCUUAAUUAUUUUAGGCUCCACAAUGUCCAAUCCAAUCCUUUCUUAAAUUUAAUAUUGAAGCCCUGUUUGGUAUUUAGGAUAAGAUUGCAUUGAUAAUUCUCUAAUUUCAAGGUAUUAUUAGGGGAGAAAUAAAAAAAUUAUGUCCAACUUGGGUUAGAAGACGGAUUACCAUGAAGAAAACUUAUACAAUGUAGUCAUCUCCAAAAUGAGAGAAUUAGGAGGGAUGAGUUUUUUUUUCAUAUCUAGUAGUUUUCUAUUCCGUUCUCUGUAAAAAAAAAAAAACAAAUUCAUUUAUACUUUCAACUUAUACUUUCAGUAUGCCUUGAUGUUGUAAAAUUAUCCAUUACAAUCCAAUUUUACAUACUAAACAAGCCCGUUUUUCCUAGUAUCUAACAACAUUUUCUACCCGCAUUACUGACCAAGGAAUGAAAAGUACGCAAUUUUUGGUCUUUGCCGUGGAUCCCAGAAAGUAUGCAAUUUUUGGUCUUUGCCCACAUUUUCUACACGCAUUAUUGACCAAGGUUACAUCAUUUCUCUCUCUCUCUCUCUUUAAAAUUACUGUACUGUUAUUCGUUCUCAUUUCUCUCUCUCUCAAAUUUACAAUGAAUCAAAACCUUUGCAUCUUCAUUCUGAUCUUCCUUCUCUCAUCAGAAACCCCAGCAUUUGCAGUGGACUUUUACUACCAAAACUGCAGCGUCCCCACAACUGGUGGCCGCCUAAGCAUCAGCUAUCCGUUCUACAUCCAAGGCAGGCAACAAGACUUCUGCGGCUACCCUGGUUUCCAGCUCGCCUGCCAGGGCGGCGCAGACGACGACGAAGAAGCCUACCCACUUCUCCGGUUGUCUGGAGACGAUUACAUAAUUCACAACAUCAGUUACGAAAGACAGACUCUUGUCGUCUCAAAUGCUCUACUUUCGCACUACUUGGACAACUCUUCCUGCACUAAUCUCUCACUGAUCCAUAAUUUAACGCUCCCUAAUGAACUGUUUGAGCUGGCUCCAAAGCAAGAUCAGUUCUUUCUGCUCCACAACUGCAGCCCUUCGUUUGUCGAUUCUUUUCCAACGUACAAGAUUGGUUGUAGUAACACUUCGGUUCUUGCUCUGCCUCGGCAGAUAUAUCCGAAAUUUGAAGGUCUUGGGGAGGUUGAAAAGUGUGGAUCGAGUGAGGUGCCGGUGGCGCAAGGUGGAGGGUAUGGGAAUGAUGAAGCGGCGGGAAUGAAGGAAGUGUUGGGAAGAGGGUUUGAGAUGAAAUGGCUGGCUGGUGACUGCAGCGGCUGCCAGAGUAGUGGAGGGCUAUGUGGGUUUAACUACACCACCCACCUUUUUAGGUGCCUCUGCCCCAACAGGUCCUUUUCUGUGUUCUGUAGGGGCGAAGAAGGUUAGUCUCUCUCUCUUCACUCUUUUUUUUCUCUCUUUUUUACAUGCAAUAUGAAUUGUUAGAUAAUUACUACGCAGCAUACAUAAUUCAGGCUAGUUCAUUAACACAAUAUGUGGCUUUGUUGUAAGACUAAACUUAUCAUAAAUAUAAGUUAAGAGAUUAAGCUCAUGAACCACAAAUUUAUACAAGUAUUAAAAUCACAAUUCGAUAAACAUAAUGACAAACUAACCCGUAAAAACAGUAGAAGAGAAGCCAAAGCAGACUUCUAAACAGUGCACCUUCUCCUCUCUUACAAAACCAAAAGUACUCAAACUAACAAUAGGUCUUAGUUCAAUAUUGAGCGUGUAUUUUGUGAGAGCAGUGUCUACUAUUUAUAAUAGAUUAAUCCUAAUAAUUCUCCUAUUCGAAACAUCAUAGGAUACCAACUAUGAAUCCAAAUCAUAUCUGAAUUACAAUCCUACAAGAAUUAGGAUAGUUUUAAGCUUUCUAGCAAGAAUUUUCUAUGUCAAUUGAAACACUACAACCGGCUAUAAUAUUUAAUUUCAUACUCAUAUUCUAACAUUUGUUACACUCGAAUUCAAAUUCAUCUCUAUAGAUUAGAGUAGUUCAGAAUAUCGUUUAAUUUCGAAACGAAGAUAAUUUCUGGUAUGGGGAUAAUUGUCCCACUUGCCCAACUCUCCUGUGCAAAAAGUUGAAAAAUCUCAUCCAGUCUAACUCCUACCAUACAUUAGAUUUCAAAGGAAAAAGGGCGGCUGCUGGCUGGAGGGUUGAAUAUAGCCACCUCUAAUCAAAUAUUAACGAAGAAGAUGGUCCGUGAAGUCGAAUCUGAACCUCUACAUCAUCACGAUUUAACGUGAAAAAUAUCCUUCACGAUUAUUUGUGAUAAAACCAUUUGAAACUUAGUCACAUAAUCUUAUUGUUAGCGUGUGUAAUUCUGUAUUAAUCUAGUUGUCCUAACCAAAAUUUUAAAUUUGGUUUUUGAUUAUGAUAUGAGAUAAUGAUCAUUGUGCAGGACCUGGAACUGGAAACUUAGCCGCUAAAGUCUCAAUAGGUAAUUAUAACUUGCUUAGAUUAGUUUUCUAAGUUUAUGUGUUGUAAUAAGGUUUAUAGCAUGUCUGCAAUGGCUACCAUUCGAUCGAAUAAAUCAUCAUAUUCAACGUAUAUUCAUCAGGUGCAGUUGCUGGUCUCAUAUUUCUAAUCGCUAUCAUUUGCUGCUUAAGAAGAAAGUUGUCAUCAUAUAGAUUUCUUUUCUUUUGGAAGAAGCAAAACCAAAAUCGUCAAAUUGUAGAGGCCUUUCUAAGGAGCCACGGGCCGCUUCAAAUACGAAGGUAUAGCUAUUUGGAGGUCAAGAACAUGACCAACUCCUUCAAAGAAAAAUUAGGACAUGGAGGCUAUGGUGCUGUUUACAAAGGAAAGUUAAAGGACGGCUGUCUUGUAGCAGUGAAGGUCCUGAUCAAACUAACAGGAGAUGGAGAAGAGUUUAUGAAUGAAGUGGCAGCUAUUAGUAGAACUUCCCAUGUCAACGUCGUCACCUUGUUAGGCUUUUGUUUUGAGGGUUCCAAAAAGCUCUCAUCUAUGAAUUCAUGCCUAAUGGAUCCCUAGAGAAAUUCAUAUUUGAUUCAAAUACUCCCAAUAUAGGUCAUGAUCACUUGGGAUGGGAAGCAUUGGAUCAAAUUUCACUUGGAGUUGCUCGAGGCUUGGAGUAUUUACAUCGUGGUUGCAACACAAGAAUUUUGCAUUUCGACAUCAAGCCUCACAACAUUCUUCUCGAUGAAAACUUCACGCCAAAAAUCUCGGAUUUUGGCAUUGCCAAAAUAUGCAACAAGAAAGAGAGUAUUGUCUCGAUGUUGGGCGCUAGAGGUACAGCAGGUUACAUUGCUCCAGAAGUAUUUUCUAGAAACUUUGGAAAGGUCUCACACAAGUCGGAUGUGUACAGCUAUGGAAUGAUGCUUUCGAAUAUGGUUGGGGGAAGUAGGAACACAGACGAUGAAGCUGAAAAUACAAGUGAAAUAUAUUUUCCACAUUGGAUUUACCAACGUCUUGAAUUGGACGAAGAGCUUGGUAUGCAGAGUAUUACGAAUGAGGAAGACGAAGCAAGAGCAAGGAAGAUGAUGAUAGUGAGCUUGUGGUGCAUACAAACUGAUCCUUCAAACCGGCCAGCGAUGAAGGAAGUGAUAGAUAUGUUGGAAGGGAGUGUUGAUUCGUUGCAGAUACCUCCCAAACCUUACUUGUCUUCUCCUCCAAAUCCCCAGCAGAUUCUUCUACAGCAUUGGUAUCAAUGAAGUAGAAACCCUGUAUUUUACUUGAACAAAUCUAUGUUUUUAUGAGGCAAUCUAAAUAAUGAAGCAUGCGUUUCAUGUU
rnacentral:lncRNA from 1 species